rnacentral:tRNA from 3 species
AUUUUGAUGAUCUAACGGUCAUGAUUUCCGCUUGUCACGCGGGAGACCGGGGUUCGACUCCCCGACAGAGGG